rnacentral:rRNA from 1 species
UACAGAGGGUGCGAGCGUUAAUCGGAGUUACUGGGCGUAAAGGGCGCGUAGGCGGUUAUAUAAGAUGAGAUGUGAAAUCCCUGGGCUUAACCUAGGAACUGCAUCUCAUACUGUAUGACUGGAGUAUUGUAGAGGGUAGUGGAAUUUCCGGUGUAGCGGUGAAAUGCGUAGAGAUCGGAAGGAACACCAGUGGCGAAGGCGGCUACCUGGACAAAUACUGACGCUGAGGCGCGAGAGCGUGGGGAGCAAACAGG